UACGGGGGGAGCAAGCGUUGUUCGGAUUUACUGGGCGUAAAGGGCGCGUAGACGGUCAGCACAAGUCAGCUGUGAAAUCUCUGAGCUUAACUCAGAACGGCCAAGUGAUACUGCAGUGCUAGAGUGUGGAAGGGGCAAUCGGAAUUCUUGGUGUAGCGGUGAAAUGCGUAGAUAUCAAGAGGAACACCUGAGGUGAAGACGGGUUGCUGGGCCAACACUGACGCUGAUGCGCGAAAGCCAGGGGAGCAAACGGG
rnacentral:rRNA from 1 species